rnacentral:rRNA from 1 species
UACGGAGGGUGCAAGCGUUAAUCGGAAUCACUGGGCGUAAAGCGCACGUAGGCUGUUAUGUAAGUCAGGGGUGAAAUCCCACGGCUCAACCGUGGAACUGCCCUUGAUACUGCACGACUUGAAUCCGGGAGAGGGUGGCGGAAUUCCAGGUGUAGGAGUGAAAUCCGUAGAUAUCUGGAGGAACAUCAGUGGCGAAGGCGGCCACCUAGACCGGUAUUGACGCUGAGGUGCGAAAGCGUGGGGAGCAAACAGG